CAGUCGCCGCGGGAAUACGAAGGGUGCAAGCGUUACUCGGAAUUACUGGGCGUAAAGCGUGCGUAGGUGGUGGUUUAAGUCCGUUGUGAAAGCCCUGGGCUCAACCUGGGAAUUGCAGUGGAUACUGGGUCACUAGAGUGUGGUAGAGGAUAGUGGAAUUUCCGGUGUAGCAGUGAAAUGCGUAGAGAUCGGGAGGAACAUCAGUGGCGAAGGCGGCCAUCUGGGACAACACUGACGCUGAGGCACGAAAGCGUGGGGAGCAAACAGGAUUAGAUACCCGCGUAGUCCCUGUCUCUUAUAC
rnacentral:rRNA from 1 species